rnacentral:rRNA from 1 species
UACGUAGGACGCAAGCGUUAUCCGGAUUCAUUGGGUUUAAAGGGUGCGUAGGCGGGCCUUUAAGUCAGUGGUGAAAGACUGUCGCUCAACGAUAGCAUUGCCAUUGAUACUGGAGUUCUUGAGUGCAGAUGAGGUAGGCGGAAUGUGUAGUGUAGUGGUGAAAUACUUAGAUAUUACACAGAACACCGAUUGCGAAGGCAGCUUACUAAAUUGCAACUGACGCUGAGGCACGAAAGCGUGGGGAUCAAACAGG